rnacentral:lncRNA from 1 species
AAAAUAUGAAGUUAGGGAAAAGAAGAGUUCUAAGAAGGUAACAUAUGAUUUGGUUUCUCUUCAUUUACAUUUCCUACAAUGCAAUAUUUAUUUUUUUGCUAUUCAUGUUUCUGAUGUGGGUUUUGACAUGAUGUAGAGACCAAGAGGAUUGAAGGCCAUGAGGAGUACGGAAAGUGAUUCAGAUUGAAUAUACAUCAAUGGUAGCAGUAGGGCUCUUUUUCUUUUCUGAUAUUUUUUGGGGAAUAUUUUUGGAGUUCAUGUUAAUGGUUGGGGAAAAAUACAGAGAAGUUAAAAUAAUAGUAUGCUUUUG